UUCAAAUUCAAGAUGGUUGACAGGUGGCCAUUUUGGAGUUUGAAAGUAAAAGUUUGUUACGGCUGUUUCUGAGAAAGUACUGGAUCUUUGUCAAAUUUCAUAUGCAGGUUCCCCUUGGUCCCUAGUUGUGCAGUGUACAAUUGUACAGUUUUUUGGACUGAUUCAAAUUGAAGAUGGCCCUACAGCUAUGAGUCAAUAACCACCUUCAGUUUGAAUAUCAUGCAUAACUGGUAUAUGCAACGCUUAUUUCACACAAGCAUAUUUUCUUCGAUAUUCUAUCAUAUUGAUUCAAGACCAUGUCCAUUAUCCACCUGUAACUGACUGCUGUCUAAUAAUACUUUGGGAUCUUUUUCAAAUGAUAUUUGCCAAUAGGUGUUUAAUAAAAAUAUCUUGUGCCAUCAUUUAGUACAUUCAAUGAAGACCAGUUCAUGAACAUUUACAACACCUGCAACAUAAAAAAAAAAAACAAUAAACAAAUCUUCAAGAACUGAAAACAGAUCCUCAAAUGGUGGGCGCCAAGAUCCCACUGGGAUCUCUUGUUUUUUACUGAUAUUUAAUUCAUAAAAGAAAAAAAAAAUUGUCUGCUGAAAUUUCCAACUGGUGAAAUAUCAGAAACCCCUGCCAGUACACAGUUUUGGUGUAGCACCAUACUACAGGAUGUGCUGUUUAUUUUCACAUUGCUGUAUCAACAUACUUUAGUUUACAAUUUAUACCAUCUAUGUUGUGGGUGGAAAUCCAUGUAGUCAUGAAGAUCUUGCAUGAUCAUGGAAGUUACCUGGGACAUAGGAUCACUAUUUUCACAACUUCAGUCACUGAAUGGUCUACUGGUCCGAGUAUCAAAGAUCUUUCUUAACUUAAGUCACUGCAACGGUCUACAGGUCCCAGUUUCACAAAUCUCCCUUAACUUAUGCAGAACUUAAUUAAUAUAGAAAAGCAUUACGUUAGUUAAGGAAAAACUUAAUUUUACAGAAGUCACAUUAGUUAUGUAAUGCUUUCAAGUGGGCAAUUUCAAGUUCAGGUAAAUCCCUUAAGUUAAAGAAGAUUUGUGAUACUGGAGCCAGGAAUAAAAUGUUGGUGUGGAUGGGUAUAAAUCCAUUUGUCUUAAUGUCUUAUGAAUGAUAUUGUAGGACCAAAGUCAUAUUUUAUAGGAAAUUAUGGUUUAGAAGACCAGUGUUGCAUCAGAUUGUCAUUUAUAACUACUGUAUGUUCUCUAUAUGUUAAAAGUAUAAAAAAAAAUUCUGUAUGUCUUGAAUUUUAAGGAAAUCUUUUGUUUCUGCGUCAAUAAAUAAUUCCAUGACA